AUUGAACGCUGGCGGAAUGCUUUACACAUGCAAGUCGAGCGGCAGCGCGGGGGCAACCCUGGCGGCGAGCGGCGAACGGGUGAGUAAUAUAUCGGAACGUACCCCGUCGUGGGGGAUAACACAGCGAAAGCUGUGCUAAUACCGCAUACGACCUGAGGGUGAAAGCGGGGGAUCGCAAGACCUCGCGCGAUGGGAGCGGCCGAUAUCGGAUUAGCUUGUUGGUGAGGUAAAGGCUCACCAAGGCGACGAUCCGUAGCUGGUCUGAGAGGACGACCAGCCACACUGGAACUGAGACACGGUCCAGACUCCUACGGGAGGCAGCAGUGGGGAAUUUUGGACAAUGGGCGCAAGCCUGAUCCAGCCAUGCCGCGUGAGUGAAGAAGGCC
rnacentral:rRNA from 1 species